GUGAAUCAUCAAAUUUUUGAACGCAUAUUGCACUCUCUGUAUUCCGGAGAGUAUGCCUAUUUGGGGGUCAUUUUAAAUAAUAUAAAUUUCGAGGGUUUCUUGGAAUCAAAAAUGGGACGGUCCAGCAUUCGUGGGGUGGUCGCCUAAAAUGCAAGACAAGCUCAUGUCUUGGGGUGCGUGAUACUUUCAGUUACCUCGUUACUCCACAAGGAAUCUUUGAGCGUGUUAGGAAUUGUGCACGCGAUAAACUUUCAUUUAUCUUGAACUCAA
rnacentral:misc_RNA from 1 species